CUGUGCAGGAGUCAGUCCCAGUCAGGACACAGCAUGGACAGGAGGGUCCCCACUCAGCUCCUGGGCUUCCUGUUGCUCUGGCUCUCAGGAGUCAGAGGUGACAUCCAGAUGACCCAGUCUCCAUCCUCCCUGUCUGCAUCUGUAGGAGACAGUGUCACCAUCACUUGCCGGGCAAGUCAGAGCUUUAGUAGUAGUUUAGCCUGGUAUCAGCAGAAACCAGGGAAAGCCCCUAAGCUCCUGAUCUAUAGUGCAUCCAGUUUGCAAUCUGGGGUUCCUUCGAGGUUCAGUGGCAGUAAGUCUGGGACAGAUUUCACUCUCACCAUCAGCAGCCUGCAGCCUGAAGAUAUUGCUAGUUAUUACUGUCAACAGUAUUACAGUGACCCUCCCACAGUGUUACACACCUAAACAUAAACCUCCCAG